AAGUCGAACGCAGUAGCAAUACUGAGUGGCAAACAGGUGAGUAUAAUGUGGGAAUCUGCCUUUUGGUUUGGAAUAGCACGGGGAAACUUGUGCUAAUACCGAAUAAGCCUUUACAGGGAAAGUUUUAAUGCCGAAAGAUGAGCCCGCACUUGAUUAGCUAGUUGGUAAGGUAAAAGCUUACCAAGGCAACGAUCAAUAGCUGUUCUUAGAGGAAGACCAGCCACAUUGGGACUGAGACACGGCCCAGACUCCUACGGGAGGCAGCAGUGGGGAAUCUUGCACAAUGGGGGAAACCCUGAUGCAGCGAUGCCGCGUGAGUAAAGAAGGCCCUUGGGUUGUAAAACUCUUUCGUCGGGGAAGAAAAUGACUGUACCCGAAUAAGAAGGUCCGGCUAACUUCGUGCCAGCAGCCGCGGUAAUACGAAGGGACCUAGCGUAGUUCGGAAUUACUGGGCUUAAAGAGCUCGUAGGUGGGUUAAAAUAGUUGAUGGUGAAAUCCCAAGGCUCAGCCUUGGAACUGCCAUCAAAACUUUUUAGCUAGAGUGUGAUA
rnacentral:rRNA from 1 species